UGGUUAAAAAGCUCGUAGUUGGAUCUCGGCGGACUGAGGGCGGUUUGCUUGCUAGUAUUACUGCCCUAUAGUCCGUAGUUUUGCCAGAGGUUUCGGGGUGCUCUUAAUCGAGUGUCCCGGGAUGCUGGCAGGUUUACUUUGAAAAAAUUAGAGUGCUCAAAGCAGGCUAUUACGCCUGAAUAUUCGUGCAUGGAAUAAUAGAAUAGGAAGUCGUUUCUAUUUUGUUGGUUUUCGGAAAUCGACUUAAUGAUUAAUAGGGACAGUCGGGGGCAUUUGUAUUCAAACGACAGAGGUGAAAUUCUUGGACCGUUUGAAGACAAACUACUGCGAAAGCAUUUGCCAAGAAUGUUUUCAUUAAUCAAGAACGAAAGUUAAAGGUUCGAAGGCGAUUAGAUACCGCCCUAGUUUUAACCAUAAACGAUGCCAGCUAGCGAUCUGCGGGCGUUUUUUUUGUAGACUCCGCAGGAAGCUUCCGGGAAACCAAAGCAUUUGGGUUCCAGGGGAAGUAUGGUUGCAAAGCUGAAACUUAAAGGAAUUGACCGAAGGGCACCACCAGGAGUGGAGCCUGUGGC
rnacentral:rRNA from 1 species